rnacentral:rRNA from 1 species
UACGUAGGGGGCUAGCGUUGUCCGGAAUCAUUGGGCGUAAAGAGCGUGUAGGCGGUCCGGUAAGUCCGUUGUGAAAGUCAGGGGCUCAACCCUUGAAUGCCGGCGGAUACUGUCGGGCUAGAGUCCGGAAGAGGCAAGUGGAAUUCCCGGUGUAGCGGUGAAAUGCGCAGAUAUCGGGAGGAACACCUAUAGCGAAGGCGGCUCGCUGGACCGGUUCUGACGCUGAGGCGCGAAAGCGUGGGGAGCAAACGGG